rnacentral:lncRNA from 1 species
CCCCCUGAGCAUCGAUGCUCUGAGUCUAAUGCACUUUUAUUACCUGAUCCUCCCUCUUUCCGCGUUAGCAAAGCCAAACAAGGGAAAGGGAAAUCAGGUAGGGUGUUAUUAGAAGUUACUACAGCAACGGCUUGGCUUUGGGGACGGCCUCGCAGCGAUUCCCCCCCCCCCCAUCCUCGAGGGAGCAGCUCUCUGCGCUCAAAGCCCUGGAGCUGCUUUCUCCCGCUUCAGCCUGAUGUUGUGCAUUUAGGCCGAGGCGAUUCGUCGCUGUGGGGAACCAGCGCUUUGCUGGAUGGUGUUGAAUUUCCUGGGUGGGAGGAGAGAAGGAAGAUUCCAGCUCGGAGAGAGUUGCGCCUCCAAAUCCAGGCUGCUCUAGAUCUCUCUCUUUCUCUCUCGCACGCGCCCCGUUCCCAACCCCACGCCACAAAACAUGCGCCCUGGGGACAGCGGAUCAAGUGGCUUGUUAAAUUGCAAACACUCGCAGGAACCUCCAGACUGGAAACUUAAGGAGCUGAGCUGACCAAGCGAACUAAAUCUACAUAGUAGCUCCUCCCUCGCUGUCCACCAAGCUACUCCUGCCUGCAGCCUGCCUAGGAAACUUUUCUCCAAAAGCCGAUUCCUUGCAAACUUUACUGGAGAAUCUGAAGCAGCUAAGGGGAGGACUUGGGGGCUGCGUGGCAGGAAGGGGAGUUCGUUUACUGGGAAGGGAAGCAGGGGCGCUGAGUUGGGGCAUGCUGGUUAUAAAGUAGCCUGCCACCAAAAAAAAAAAAAAAAAAAGGAGAGGAGAGGAGAGGAGAGGAGGAGGAGAAGAAAAGGCAUCGCUCCUUGUUCAGUUUUGAAACUGCCUGAGUAGAAAUUGCUAGCCAAAAUUUGCGGGGGGGAGAGGGGAGUUCGACAUUCCGCGGCCAGCAAGGCCCGGUGCACCCUUCUCUUCGGAGGCAUUGGGGCUUCUUAGCACUUGGAGCAGUUUUCCAGAGAGGUUGUCGAGGGUUGUCAAGAGAGGCAUGUUACUUAGGCCAUUCUCUUCUAUGGUGUGAGAGAAAAGGUAGGGGGAGGGCAGAAACUCAGUGUUAGGGCAUCUGCACUGCAUCCAGAAAGCCGAAGGUUCAAUCUUUGCCAUCUCCAGGAAAGGCUAAGAAAGACCCUUGUCUGAAACCCACGCCAAUCUGUGUAGACCAGUGUUUCCCAAACUUGGAUCUCCAGCUGUUUUUGAACGACAAUUCCCAUCAUCCCCGACCACUGGUCCUGCUAGCUAAGGAAGAUGGGAAUUGUAGUCCAAAAACAACUGGAGACCCUCAGCCCUUUUAAUCAGGGACGAUGGGAGCCGUAACCCAACAACUUAUGGGGAACUGAAGAUUGAGAAACACUCAUGCGGACAAUACUGAGUGAGAUGGACUGAUAGUCUGACAGCAUAAGGCAGAUUCCUGUAAUUCUGUUUAAGCAGCUUCCUGUAAUUCUGUUUAAGCACCACCAAUGAUGCUUUACAAUGUGGCCUUCCGCCUUGCUUCUGACAGGGCCCCUGGGACUUCAGCAGCUGCAAGAAAAUUUAUUUGUCUAUUAAUAUUUAUUAGAUUUUUAUACCACUCAAAAGAUCUCAAGGUUGUUCACAACAUAGAAAUACAAGAUAAAAGCACAAAUAAAUAGUUAAAACAGAAACAACAAAACAACAACCCCCUCCUCCCACACACACAUUUAAAAGGCUUUAGAAUGUUAAUCAGCCAAGGGCCUGGUUGAAGAUUACAUCAACCUGUACAUUUUGCCCCUUUCAUUCAUAGGCAAGUUAAACAUGGUGAGGGGAGUGAUAACAGCCCUGCAACAUCAGUAGGUCUGCCCCAACAGGAGGGGACCUGAGAAAAGCGCUCUCUCUGUGCGCAGGUAAACAGCAAGUACUUGAGAAGUGCACUCCCAGCACAAAGCAGAUAGUGUGGGACACUGGGGCAGCAUGGGGAGGACAUUGUGUGUACAGCACCCCUAAAAGGCACUUGCAUCCAGCACUGAAUGCACAUUAUUAUGCAGGCUGUACACGCCCCAAGAGUCGUAUGGCACCUAAAAGACUAACACAUUUAUUAUGCCACUUGCUUUUUGUGAACUACAUUCCACUUCAUCAGAUGUAUGAAGUGUUAUCCUGAGGUUUUGGUAUGGGGGGUGGGGCAGGUAGAGGGAAACUGUUAAAAGUGAAGUCUGAGGGAAAUGAAAAGCGGAAAAGUACAGAGAGUAAUAAUUCCAUAUUUAACAGUGGGACUUCACAAAUAGUUAUUGACGGCACAGGCACCAUGCUUUGUAAAGCAGUUAACAUCGCUAAUAUGCCAAAUGUCCUUUGUCUCGGUUCAGCCCACAAGUGAUAGCAUCGAACCCUUUCAUUCAAUUCAGUGGUUUCAUAUUGCAAUCUCCCUUUGAAUUUCCCUUGCUGCAGGAUGGCUACUUUAAGGUAAUUUACAGAGCAUUCUGGUAGGUUGAACUGUCCCACCACUGGUUUUUGAAUAUUGCCACUUUAGAUGUCAGAUUGGUGUCCAUUUAGUCUUUCAUAUUUAGACUGGCCUGUUUGUCCUGUGUAGAAUGCAGAGCAGCUUUGCUGGCAGAUGAGAACACAUGUUAUCACCUAGUUGUUCAUUGUGAUCCUUGUUUGCUCAUACUGGAGCUGCAAACAAAUACAUACAAAGCCAAGAAUGAAUAUUUAACCACUUGGAGCGUGCUGCUUAGCUAUGGUAUAUUUGUGCUACUGUGAGGGAAACUUUGGAGUCCUGUUACCAUCAUGCCAGGACACACCUAGUAACACACCGUUGCACAACACAACUGUCUGUUGUGAAUAAGCAAGGGGUCCAGAUAGAUCAGAACAGCAUUUCUAUACUGGAAAAAAUGGUAUGUAUCAUUUUACAGUACUUUCCCCUAGAGGCUACUAUCCUAUGCACACAUUCCUGGAAGUAAAUCCCAUUGAGCAUAAUAGAACUUUCUUUUGAAUAAGCAUGUCUAGGAUUACAUUGUAAGCGGUUUUGUAAUUGUGGCAAUUAAAUGUUGAAAGCAAAUUGUUAUAAUAAGAGUACCAUAUUAGAUGUCCUCAUUUUUUCAGUCCUCAAAGCUGAAAGCUCAGUGACUCUCGUGCAUUUUCUAUUUGAGUAGGAAUCAACACAACUCAAAUUAUAGUUGUUUGAGUACAUAAGUACAGGAGUGUUUUUUAUAUGGAAGCUGGAACCCUUGCCUGUAUUCUUGAUAAGCCUAUAUUGAGAGCCAACGUUGAAUUUAAUAGCGAAUGAAUCAAACAUUUCAGCUAGAAACAGCAGUCACCUUGAUUUGCUCACCUAUUCAUCUUGCUAUUUUCUUCAUUAUUUGAAACCUUAGUAGUUGUUUCUAAUCUGUAGUUGUUUAACGAUCUAGAAUGGUAAUAAGUAAAGUGAUAUAGAAACAUAGAAUUGUAGAGUUGGAGGGCACCAUGAGGGUCAUCUAGCCCAACCCCCAAUACAGGAAUCUUUUGUCCAACAUGGAGCUUGAAUCCAUGACCCUGAGAUUCAGGGUCUCCUGCUCCACCGACUGAGUUCUCCCAUGUGCCCGAGGAUUGAAUAGAAUAAUAUAAAAGGAAAUCAGUUUUGCAGGCUACACAGAAAAGGGCAGCCAAAAUGAUCAAGAGGAUGGAGCAGCUUUGCUAUCAGGAAAGGUUGCCCCAUUUUGGGACUUUUUAGUCUAGACCAGCGGUUCUCAACCUGUGGGUCCCCAGAUGUUGUUGGACUACAACUCCCAUCAUCCCUGAGCUCUGGCCUUGCUAGCUAGGGAUAAUGGGAGUUGUAGUCCAACAACAUCUGGGGACCCACAGGUUGAGAACCGCUGGUCUAGAUGAAGGGCAGGGAAGAGGUGACAUGAUAGAAAUCAAUAGCAUGGAGAAAGUGGAUAGCGAAAAGGUCGUUUUCCCUUCUAGCAUAAUGCUAGAACUCACAAACCUCCAAUGAAUCAGGAUGUUGGAUAAUUUGGGAUGGAUAAAAGGAAGAACUUAUUUAUGCAGAACAUAGUUAAACUAUGGAACUCCCUCCAUCAGGAGGCAGUGAUGGCGACCAACUAGAAUGGCUUUAAAAGAGCAUUAGACAUAGACUACCAGUCGCUAUCAGCCAUGAUGGCUGUGCUCUGCCUCCAGGGUCAGAAGCAGUAAUGCUUCUGGAUAGCUAUUGCUGGGAACCACAGGAGCGAAGAGGGUUCUUGUGUUCAGGUCCUGCUUGAGAGAUUCCCAUGGGGAUCUGCUUGGCUACUGAGAAUAGGAUGUGAACUAGAUGGGCCAUUAGCCGGAUUCAGCA